rnacentral:misc_RNA from 1 species
ACACCUCAACUCUUCAUGGUUUUCCAUGAUGAGCUUGGACUUUGGGGGGUUUUGCUGGCCUACAGUCAGCUCCUCUAAAAUAAAUCAGCUUGCCAGUGUUUGGUGGGUAUCGCAGGUGUGAUAACUAUCUACGCUUGUGGUUUUUCCACCAGGUAACCUUCAGCAGUGGAGGUUCACUGGAGCUCACAGACGUGUCUCUCCUCAGUGAGGACAACCCUUUGAAU